GAUGAACGCUGGCGGCAUGCCUAAUACAUGCAAGUCGAACGAGAGUAGCAAUACUCUAGUGGCGAACGGGUGAGUAACACGUAGGUAAUCUACCCUUAAGACGAGGAUACCGUUGGGAAACUGACGUUAAGACUGGAUAGGACAACAUAAAUCGCAUGAUAAGUUGUUUAAAGCUUAGAAGCACUUAAGGAGGAACCUGCGGCGCAUUAGCUAGUUGGUGAGGUAACGGCCCACCAAGGCGAUGAUGCGUAGCCGGACUGAGAGGUUGAACGGCCACAUUGGGACUGAGACACGGCCCAAACUCCUACGGGUGGCAG
rnacentral:rRNA from 1 species